GAUGAAGAACGUAGCGAAAUGCGAUAAGUAGUGUGAAUUGCAGAAUUCAGUGAAUCAUCGAAUCUUUGAACGCACAUUGCGCCCCUUGGUAUUCCAUGGGGCAUGCCUGUUCGAGCGUCAUUUGUACCUUCAAGCUCUGCUUGGUGUUGGGUGUUUUGUCUCGCCUCUGCGUGUAGACUCGCCUUAAAACAAUUGGCAGCCGGCGUAUUGAUUUCGGAGCGCAGUACAUCUCGCGCUUUGCACUCAUAACGGCGACGUCCAAAAGUACAUUUUUACACUCUUGACCCCGGAUCAGGUAGGGAUACCCGCUGAACUUAAGCAUAUCAAUAAGCGGAGGA
rnacentral:misc_RNA from 1 species